rnacentral:rRNA from 1 species
UACGUAGGGGGCAAGCGUUGUCCGGAAUCAUUGGGCGUAAAGCGUGCGCAGGCGGUUCGUUAAGUCAGAUGUGAAAGCCCCGGGCUCAACCUGGGAACUGCAUUUGAAACUGGCGGGCUUGAGUGUGGCAGAGGGGGGUGGAAUUCCGCGUGUAGCAGUGAAAUGCGUAGAGAUGCGGAGGAACACCGAUGGGGAAGGCAGCCCCCUGGGCCAACACUGACGCUCAGGCACGAAAGCGUGGGGAGCAAACAGG